CCAUAGACUUCAGUUCAGAGCCGCAGACAGAAGCUUUAACUACGGUAGCGGGUUGUCUUGUACACAAUUGGCUGACUUGCAAGUUAUUCUAACAAGUGAAACACAUUUAGUCUUCGUUUUCCAAUGGACUUUCACUUCGUUACGCACUACAAAAAACAAAAAACAAACAAACAAACAAAAAAAAAAAAAAAAAAAAAACGAACAGAUGUCCUGAUUGGCCACAGGCUGUAACGUUUUGCUACUGCAUGCACUCCACCUGUAUCUGAGGAGGGAGCACACAACUGCUUUCCAGAGAUGACUAGUGUUUGAGAAUAAUGAAACAAAGCUGACAAAUAGGGACAAACAGCACAGAUGAAAAAGCUACCAAUCUUCUACAAAACCACUGAACUGUGAAAACUGCUCCAGUGGACUAAACUCUGGAGGUAACGACAUCAGGUUAUCAAGAAAGAAAAGGCAGCAAUGUGACCAGAAGCUUUCAGACUGCAGCUUCAAAGCUUCACUGAAUGCAACAAGAAGCAGCCCCCAUGCUGAGCCAGACAAUUAAAGAGUUGUGCCAUAAAAUUAGGAAAUGAUUAAGGUUUUGUGAAAGUAAGAAGAACCUGAACACCCCUUCAUCUAUUUAGAAUGGAUUAAGAUACCAAUUACGUUGUGAGAUGACCAAGACGACCUGUUUCUGCAGGGUUUCCUGUAUUAAAUCCAGGUUGCAUUCUUAAUAAUUAUUAGUUUGUAUUAACCUAUAAAUAAAUGACAUAUCUGAUCCCCUGCACCUCCGAGUACCAAUUAGGAUCUAUUCCCCUCGCCUUGGCAAACCUUGCUGGCUGAUGUUUGAAUAACUUCAGAAGCUUGGCAUAACAAUCCAGCUGUAUGAAGAGCACUAGCUGUGUUACACCCAUCAUUCAGGGCUACCUCCCAAUGAGUAUUACCUGCAGGCUCGACUCAGAUCACAACAUGUUUGACAUAAUAGGCUGGAGGGGGUCACCACAGUGCAAAAAAAUGAAGGAAAUAUACAUACAUUUCAUUUUCAGCGUGGAAAGAUGAACAAAUUUGAAUAAGAUGUUUCUCAUACAAGGAUGUGCUUGUUUGUCCUCCCAGCUUAAGACUAAUUCAUGAAUUAUGCCAGUUGUGCUUCUUAACUCUUUCAGAUCCUUUUAACAGGUGUCAAAUGUAUUUAUUUGUAUGUGAUGUUUGCUUCAGUGAACAUUCAACGCUGUCGGUGAGUUUAAGAUAAAUGGGAAAAAACCAUCGACCGUUGAUUGUACCCUGCAGCCAGCCUUCAUCAACUGCACAGUGAAUGCACAAACAGUGACUUUCAGCUCUUGAGCCUAUGAGGGUGGACAGUUAGUGUGUUUUUUUGUCCGGAACAAGAUGCAGCAAAGGUCACAAUCAACAUUCAUUGCUGUCGGUGGGUUUAACUGUGGAAAAGCUCGCUGAACAAUGAAUGCAACUGUGGCCCAGAUUUUAGCAGCUAACAUCAUCAUGAAUGUAACCAGUGGAUGCGUUGAUUUUUAAUUACCUCUCAUCUGCAUCUCUAAAGAGAAGAUACACAGCUUGUUAGUAAUUCACUUGUGUGCCAUUGUCUGCUGUUCUUUUUCAUUUUGUUACUAAUUAGGAUUUUGUUUGUCUUGAGGCAAAAAUAAGCUUGAAUUUAAGAAAUCACUUCUACUAUUCAGCCCUGUUCAUGUACAUUUCCAGAGAUGAUAUAUGCAAGAUAUAUGUUUGUCAUUUAUUAAUUUAUUGCUAAAUUAGUAUACAUAAUAUUGCUUAGAAGAUUAGCUUUUAAUAUGCAGCUAUCUGUAAUAUCUAGCAAAGUAUAUUCUCCCCUUUUUUGUUACAAAAAAGAGACUAGAUGCCACUACAUUUUCUUCUGUGUUGUUCCCUGUUCUUGUUUCUGUAUUAAAAUAUAGUACUUAUUGAGAAAAGAUUUUGUGCAAAAUAUAUGUGUCAAGAAUGCCUUCCCAUUCAGGUCACUAUUUUCAAGAUGUGCUGAUAUAUAUCUAUAUAAUCUCCUUAUUAAUAAAAAGCUACCAGAACAAGAAUUAAGUGAUGCAUGCAUUUUGACAUAAAUAUUAAUAAGUACUGUAGCACUUUACUUUUUGCCUAGAGUUGUAUUUGUUUCAGUGAAUGUAUUAUGGAAGAAUGUUUUGCUAAAUGAAUCAGGAUAUCAACCAGUGUGGUUUAUCUUUUUUUUUUUUUCUUUUGGCUUUUUAUCUCUUGAAACCUGUGAUGGUAAAGAAUACGAUAUUUUUUAAUAUGCUGUAUAUAUUUGUGCUCAAAAGAGUCAACUUCCCAACGUUUUACUGUGUUUAAUAUACCUUUGUCAAGGGAAAGUAUGUUUGAAAACAAAUAGUGGAGGCACUUACAGGCUUCUGAUGCCAUGGCAACUACACUCAUUUCUAUUUAACUCUAUUAAUGUGUUUGUGAUGACAUUUACGACAUAGUUAAUGAUGGAAAGAUCUAUUCCUUUCUAUUUAAACCUUCAGGCAUCAUGGUAUUGAGUCUAUCAUUUACUCUUCUGUAUUGUACAUUA